UACGUAGGGGGCAAGCGUUGUCCGGAAUCAUUGGGCGUGAAGCGCGUGUAGGCGGCCCGGUAAGUCCGCUGUAAAAGUCCAGGGCUCAACCCUGGAAAGCCGGUGGAUACUGUCGGGCUCGAGUCCGGAAGAGGCGAGUGGAAUUCCUGGUGUAGCGGUGAAAUGCGCAGAUAUCAGGAGGAACACCAAUGGCGAAGGCAGCUCGCUGGGACGGUACUGACGCUGAGACGCGAAAGCGUGGGGAGCAAACAGG
rnacentral:rRNA from 1 species